CGAAGACACUGGGAUAGCGUGUCCUGAAACGUGGGGUCCGUAUUUCAGUGUCCUGCUUUCACUCAGUAUUUUACUGACGGCGCUCGUCACACAGAAGGGCUGCAGCCACCAGGAGUGGUUUGGGCUGGUGUCUCCCCAAAAUAACCAGUUGUUGCUUAGGGCUGCACAACAGUAAUUGACGUCUUUAGCUACGGUCUUGGGAAGAAUGCAUAGUCCUGCUCUAAGUUUGCUCUAAACUCCUUCCUUUACAUAGCUGUUCUGGAUGGCCCUGGCCUCUCCUGGAUGCUGGCACUAAGGCCUCUGAGGUGACCACACGGUCUUCUGUUGGGAAUCUGCUUCUGGAGCAUACAGGAGAGGCCUGGGAGAUGUGCUUUUUCUGCUUAAAUAAAGAAUUUGUGCCACUGGGAAGCCACAUCCCAUCCUUGUGUUCUGUGGGAGAAGCCAAGCCAAGUGUUGCCUGGUGCUUUUGCAGAUCAGCCUGUGGCCAUAGACCAUAUCUGAGGGAGCCAGUUGUCAGUUGAAGGUGCAUGGGUGCUGGAUGUUAGAACCUGAGAGUGAAAAAUGAGGUGUUUCACAGAAAUCUUCAGCAAGAAAACACUGGAGAAAAACAUUUCUGUUUGUACAGUUGACAAGGAAGUCCAGUGCAAUGUUUAGACACUUCCAGGUUCCUGCAGGCUUUUUGAUGAAUGAUGACUGUUGGGUGCAGAGAGGAUUCACCUAACAAAAUGAGGCAUGGAUGUCCUUGCCAACAGGCUUGCCAGUCUCAUAAGGAGAGCUUUAAACUAGGUUACUGAAGGAUGAAGUAGUUCCACCAGACCUAAGCU